AUUGAACGCUGGCGGCAGGCCUAACACAUGCAAGUCGAACGGUAACAGGAAGCAGCUUGCUGCUUUGCUGACGAGUGGCGGACGGGUGAGUAAUGUCUGGGAAACUGCCCGAUGGAGGGGGAUAACUACUGGAAACGGUAGCUAAUACCGCAUAACGUCGCAAGACCAAAGAGGGGGACCUUAGGGCCUCUUGCCAUCGGAUGUGCCCAGAUGGGAUUAGCUAGUAGGUGGGGUAACGGCUCACCUAGGCGACGAUCCCUAGCUGGUCUGAGAGGAUGACCAGCCACACUGGAACUGAGACACGGUCCAGACUCCUACGGGAGGCAGCAGUGGGGAAUAUUGCACAAUGGGCGCAAGCCUGAUGCAGCCAUGCCGCGUGUAUGAAGAAGGCCUUCGGGUUGUAAAGUACUUUCAGCGGGGAGGAAGGGAGUAAAGUUAAUACCUUUGCUCGUUGACGUUACCCGCAGAAGAAGCACCGGCUAACUCCGUG
rnacentral:rRNA from 1 species